UAUUUUUUAUCUACCUUAUACAAAAUCAUAGGUCACGUGUAAUGUAAGCUCUGAAAAUAACUUAAAAAAGUACAAUGAUUCAUAUAUUGUAGUCAUGAUCAAACUUCAUAGAAAUACAACAAUCAUGGUUCUUAAUUCUUAAUCGGUCACCAUCUUUCUUCCUUCGCUUGACAUUUUCUGAAUUAUGAAACUUACUUUAACAGAUCCUCUUUCUUCUUGGUAUAGUUUCUUUCCCAGACCAGUGAAUAUAAAAUGAAGUCACCCUUUUGACCGCUGUGAUAAUCAAACUUUGGGUCCCCUGCAGAAAUAUAAGAGAAAAUGACGAUUCCUAUGAUGGAAUCUGACACUGAGGUGCCCUUCUCACUCAAACAUAAUUUUGAAAAGCAAUAUGAGAAAAACAGAGCCAAACAUGGAUCCGCAGGUACUCUUUUACCUGCCUUCAAUUUUGGGAUUUUCACCUCAAGUCAUCACUCUAUUAUAUCAUAUCCAUUUUAUUUCCCCUUUCUAUUUCACCCACAAUAAUUGAAAAGGUUGUGGGUCUGGUCUGCGUGAAUCACUAUAUCCAUUGUUUCUUACAAAUACAAUUCAUUUCAUCUGGUGUCCGCUACAAGGUUGGAGCUUUCUGAAACCCUUUUUCGUUUUCUUCAAUCAAUCUAUUGAUUGAUGUUAUGGGUUGAAGGAUGGAUGAUGUGCUCUGGGGUUAGAGCCACUGAAUGUGAGGAUUGAGAAGAAAAUGGAACAGAGAUUGUGGUCAACAUCACUCAUCACGUUACUUUCUGGUUCCCCAACAACAUCUUCCAUUUGAUUAUUCAUCAAACUAGACACACACAGGUCGGUGAAAAGGAUCACUACUUUUUGAUUUAUUUUAUUGUUUUGUUUUGAGGUUUUGGUAUAUACCUGCGCCUGCGUCUGUGGUUUCAGAACAGCAGUACCAAUGAUCCUGUUUUCUGUCUCCGCACGCAGCGAUUACUCAGAAAAGUCAUGUGAUACACUGACAUGACUAGAACAGAAUAUGCCUUCAUUUUUCGUCUUUUUAAUUUGACCAUUAACGCAAAUUUAUGCUUUUAUGCUUCUGUGAUUCAUUUAACAUCUUCUUAGGACAUACAAUAGAGUUUCCAAUUAAUAAUUUUCUGGAGGAAUCUACUGUAACAAAGCUCUAGUGCAUGUUUGAUGCUAAUAAUUAUGUUUCAGGAGAACAAAUAUUUUUAAAAGUUCUUACUUAAUCUCUCUUCUCAACAAGUACUACCACAACAAUUUCUUCUUUAUUUCCUCACCAAAAGUGGAAAAAAAAUAGGAAGGUGGUCUUAAAAGUUUUGGACCAUAUAACUAAAAUAAAUAAAAAGUAAUUUGCCCCAAAUUUAUAAAAAGAGAGAAAGAAAUAUGGAAUGUAAUGUUAAAGUAUAACGUAGUGUGUUUGUUAUAUUGGAUAAAAAUCUUGAUAUUUACACAUGUGAUCAAGAAAAAAAGAUCUGUUGAGAAAUAUGAAGUCCUUAAAUGAAUAAUAAUACAUUUUAAAAUAAGUUACAACCACCCAAAUAUGAGGCAAGCUUUAAUGGAUUUAUUUUUUUUCUAAUGUAAAAUUUUCAGCCAAAUGGAUCUUUAAGGAGAAAAGAAAAUCUUCUAUCUCUUGUGUAGAUUCUUGUUUUUUAAUUACAUAUUUUUGAAAUACAUUCAAAGUUAAUGAGGAAGGUGACGCAUGGAAAGUGGAUGUUUGAAUGUAUAAAUUUGCUAUAAUUGUUGAGUGGAAGAAAAGUAAGAGAAGGUAGGUGUUUCUUGUGGCCUCACUCAUGAAGAGGAAAGAGAU
rnacentral:lncRNA from 1 species